rnacentral:rRNA from 1 species
ACGGAGGGGGCUAGCGUUGUUCGGAAUUACUGGGCGUAAAGCGCACGUAGGCGGCUUUGUAAGUUAGAGGUGAAAGCCCAGGGCUCAACCCUGGAAUUGCCUUUGAAACUAGAUGGCUAGAAUCCUGGAGAGGCGAGUGGAAUUCCGAGUGUAGAGGUGAAAUUCGUAGAUAUUCGGAAGAACACCAGUGGCGAAGGCGACUCGCUGGACAGGUAUUGACGCUGAGGGACGAAAGCUAGGGGAGCGAAUGGGA